GCAUGACAAUUUUAUAUUCUCUUCCACAUGUUUUAUUAUUUUGCAUUUUGCAUUUAGGUCUGUGGUCCAUUUUGAGUUAACAUUUAUGUGUGAGGUAUGGGUUACAGUUUUUCUUUUUUCCGCAUAUUGAAAUCCAGUUGUUCUAGCAUCAUUUGUUGAAAAGAAUAUCCCUUCUCCUCUAUUCAACUGAGUUUUGUUGUACCUUUGUCCAAAAUCAGUUGAUUGUAUUCAUGUGGGUCUUCCUGAAUUCUCUAUUCUGUCUGUUCCACUAAUCUAUUUCUCUCUUUCUCUCUCUCUCUCCCUCUCUCUCUCUCUCUCUCACACACACACACACAACACACUCACACAUCUAUCUAUCUAUCUAUAUCUAUCUAUCUUACCAUACCACACUGUCUUGGUUGUAUUUUUAUACUUAAAUAUGGAAAUCAGGUAGGGGGAACCCACCAACUGUAGUAUUUGUCAGUGUUGUUUCAGCUACUCUAGUUCACUUGUUUUUUAUAUACAUUUGGGAAUGAGCUUGUAGAUUUUUACAAGAUGAUGUGGCUAGUGUUUUAAUUGUAAUUAUGUUAAAUCUAUGGAUCAAUUUUAAGAGAAUUGACAUUUUUGCAACAUGGAGUUUUAGAAUCUAUACACAAAGGACAUUUCUCUGUUUAUUUAACUUUAUGUCAUCAAUAUUUUUAGCUUUCAGCAUAUAGACCUUGAACAUAAUUUGUUGGACAUAACUUAUUUUUUUCUGUGCUAUUCUAAAGAGUACUUAAAUUUUUUUAAAUGCCAGUUGUUCAUUGCUCAUUUACAGAAAUACAGUUGAACUUUGUAUUUUGACCUUCAGCCUUGCUAAACUCCCUUAUUAAUUCUGGCAGCUUUUUUGUAGAUUCAUUGGGACUUUCUAUGUAGAUAAUCAUACGGUCUGAAAAUAGUUUCAUUUCUGUCUUUUGUUAAGCUGUAAGCCUUCUGUUUAUUUUUCUAGCCUUAUUCACUGGCUAGGAGCACUAGUACAAUGUUGAACAAGAAUGUCAACAGCAACUAUCCCUGAUUCCUUCCCCAUCUUAGAGGUGCUUUGAAGUCUUGCACUAAUCAGAGUCAUGGUUAUGAAUAUCAGAACUUGAUAUUGAAGAAACGUAAAAGUGCUCAUCAAAGAACCAGGUGAUGGAAAUGGCAGGAAACAGCAUAAGUGGAUGCUUCUGUGAGAGUGCAGCCCAGCCGAUGUGCCUGCCACCUGCCACUGCCUGCCGGUUCGCAGCUCCUCCUGGAACCAAGCGGACCGCCUCCAGAGGUGGGAGCCAAAGCUUCCUCGAGAGCAGGAGGAGCACAUCACUGGAUGCCAUGUUUCACACACUGCAACUCUGCGACUCGGAUUAGAGCCAUCCAUCAGAGGCCCUGCCAGCCCAGGACGGCACUUUAAUUAAAAUAUGUAAAACAUCCUGGUGGGAGUGGAGCUGAAGACACAGGAGCAGGCCUUGGACAGAAGCUGGCCCUUCUCCAGCCUUGGAGGGCUAGGACUGUGCCAGGAAGGCCCUCCGAAGCAGUCUGGGGGAGUGGUGAUGUCUGAUAUACACCAUCAGCCACUCCACUCAGCAUAGAACUUAGCGAGGGCAAGAAUAUCUGCAUGAAAGAAAGCCACACCAGGUCCCCAGGCCAGAACGGUGACCCUAACAGCAUGUUGGCAAGGACUUGGCAUCACACCGGUUGUCAGUCUUAGGGGUUGGAAUGUUCUAUUCCCACUCUCCAUUUUCUGAAAGGACACAUUGUGAAGCUGAUACCUGGACAUUUAUACAAACUACUCAGCAAAUCCAUUUCCAUUUUCCAGACGAAUCAACUCCCCAAGUUCACUCUUUGUUCAGACGUUGCUUUCUAUGUUGAGAGGAAGAGUGGCAGAGGCUGCAUUGUUUAGAGCAGGGAUGAGAUAACUUUUUUGCAGUUUGCCCAAAAUCAGAAAAAAAUGUCUAGGCCACUGUUUUCAAUCCACCUUUUAAAAAAUCAUGAGAUGCAAUAUUUAAAAAUUGUUUUAAGCCUGCUUUCCAUUUUUUUCCCUUAUCAUCAUUAAAGGACUUUGUGAUUGUUACUGAAACAUCAGAA